AAGUGGCCUUCUGAGUCGGCUCCCCUUUGUGAGUGGCCUCAAGUGGCUGAGACGCCAGCGGGGCUCUGGGUCCAGGAGGCUUGGUUGUCUCCGCCCAGCUCGGGGUUUACACGGCCCCGCCGGCUUACAAAGCCCCUUUAGGCGUCUCACAACCACCCCGGGAGUCGGAGACUACCAUGGACCACCCUAUAACAGAUGAUGCACAGGGAAGCCAGGUCUCUGGCACGAGAAACGCACAGCUGGCAAGAGAAGGGGGCCCCUGAGGAAACAAAGCUGUAACCCAGAUUCUGGUGACAUGGCGAUCAACGUUUAAAAGUGCCGGGCACUCAGCAUGGGCUGCAUCUGAGGGGUGACAGAGAAUGAGGUGCCCCUGCAGUGACUCAUAAGCCCUGGAGA